rnacentral:misc_RNA from 1 species
GUACGCGCGCGCAUACCUGACGUACGUCUGCCGUACACACAUACGCACCCACUCUUUCUUCUCACUUCUCUCUCCUCCUACCCAUUCCCUGGCACUACCAUCCAAAGUCUGUGUUCUGACUCGACCCGACUCACAGACGCGGACGGAGCAAUAGGCAGAGCGUACAGACGCGAAAGAAGAAGGAAGAAAAUCGAUUCGACGUCAACUCUACAGCCAAUCCGCAUCUGCGUUUCUGCCUUUUUCCUCUUCCCUCUAUACACUGGGGAGGAAAGAAAGAGGCCAGGCGCGUCAAAGUCGAUUGUUCUCAUCCAUCUUGUGUACCUCUUUCUUCCUCCUCUCGGCAGCUCGUUGGUUUCCAUUCAUCUCCUUUCUCAAUCCGCUUGUGUACGCGUCUGUGUCACCAUUGUGGUUGCAAGCCGCCAUCUGAUUCGUCCUCGUUUCCCUUCACAGGCACACACACACAUACAAGUCUCGCUGCUUUCACCAUUGUCCCUUUUCUCCCUCUCGUACCACCUCUAUCACCAACACACUCUCUCCUCUUUGUGUGCCACGUGGCUGGAGGCUUUUAUUAUCUUGCCCCUCCCCCUAUUCAUCUCCCUCGACAGUUAUCUGCUGCGCAUGUAUCUGUGAAUGUGUUGCGCGCGACUGUGAGACUCUGUGUUGAACCCCUUUCCUUGCCCUCCCUCCUCUUUCUCUCUCUGACACUUCUCUCUCCGCCGCUUUUGCCUUUGCUUCUCUCUAUGUUUCUGCUUCCUCCCCACAUCCCCGUUCUUUCCCUCGCUUCUUUCCGUCUGCGCUCCCUCUCCUGAUGAGUCGCUCACGCGACUGUCCCGCACGUCUCCUUCUCUCUGUAGUUCUUCUAGUGGUUCUCCCCCUCACACGCAAAACGCCCACGUCGGUUUCUCCGCCCUGUGGUCUUUGGCGUGCUGUGUCUCGUCUCGCUAUUUUCUCCCCGUUGUCUCCCUCUUCCUUUCGUCGUCGUCUUUUCCUUUUAGUUCUAGCCUGUGCGUGUUUUAUGCAAACACACACACGCGCACGCACUGUUUCGCUUUUCUUUCCGUCUCUCCUCGCUUGCCUUCUCUUUUACCUCUCCCUUCCCUCAACCGCCCUCUUCUCUCCUCCUUCUGCUCUUGCUCCUCCCUCUCACGCACGCUUGUGCGUUUUCCUCUCCUUGGGCGUCGUGUGUGUUGCGCUCUCCUUGUGCCGUUGUUGUUGCUGCGUCUGUCUGUGUUCGCGUCGCGGGCGCGAUUCUCUGCUGUCCUUCUCCUCCUCCGCAGCACUUUUCUGGGUCUUGGGGCGACUGCUAUUCCGGUCACUUUUGCCGUCGCAGCAGUACUCGUGGCGCUGCUGCGUCUGUGCGCCACCUGUACCCAGGGGAAAGCAGCGGCAUCAGCUGUGGCCUCAUUCGACGCGUCGUCGGUGGGGCGGAUUCGUGUGCGUCUCUCUGUCUUCUCUCCGUUUCCUUCGUGUCCUGUGUGCGUGCGCGACUGUGGCCCUCUUUCGCACCCUCGCCAAGAGCGACACGCAUCCAGACCGCCGCCUCCUCUGUAGCCGUACCGAGGGAUUCCUGAAGUACUUGUCUCUUUUGCCACUUUCCCCAUCUUUCUUGCCUUUUUGUACGGUUUUCUCAG